rnacentral:lncRNA from 1 species
CACCUCUUUUCCUUUUGAAGAUCCACUUACACCCCAUGGGUUUUACCCCUUCAGGUGGGCAAAAAAUACUAUGGGUUUAAACAUUAUGAACCUUUAUGUCUGGCUUCAUUAAGAAUGGAGAGGAACCCUGCAUAUACAAAUGGAUUAAUAACUCUGUGAUAGUAUUUUUUAUUUUGUAUUUCGAUGACAUUCUCUUAAUCGAGAAUGACAUCCC